AGUGAACGCUGGCGGCAGGCCUAACACAUGCAAGUCGAACGGCAGCACAAGAGAGCUUGCUCUCUGGGUGGCGAGUGGCGGACGGGUGAGGAAUGCAUCGGAAUCUGCCCAUUUGUGGGGGAUAACCUCGGGAAACCGGGACUAAUACCGCAUACGACCUACGGGUGAAAGCAGGGGAUCUUCGUACCUUGCGCAGAUGGAUUAGCCGAUGCCGGGUUAGAUAGUUGGGGGGGUAAAGGCCCACCAAGGCGACGAUCCGUAGCUGGUCUGAGAGGAUGAUCGGCCACCAUGGGACUGAGACACGGCCCAGACUCCUACGGGAGGCAGCAGUGGGGAAUAUUGGACAAUGGGGGCAAGCCUGAUCCAGCCAUGCCGCGUGUGUGAAGAAGGCCUUCGGGUUGUAAAGCACUUUUGUUGGGAAAGAAAAGCAGCCGGUUAAUACCCGGUUGUCAUGACGGUACCCAAAGAAUAAGCACCGGCUAACUUCGUG
rnacentral:rRNA from 1 species